rnacentral:misc_RNA from 1 species
UCUCCGUUGGUGAACCAGCGGAGGGAUCAUUACCGAGUUUACAACUCUCAAACCCCAUUGUGAACGCUACCAAACCGUUGCCUCGGCGGGAUUUCUGCCCCGGGCGCGUCCCGGCCCCGGACCAGGGCGCUCGCCGGAGGACCAACCCAACACUCUUGUGUAUACCCCCUCGCGGGUUUUUUAUAUCUGCGCCUUCUCGGCGCCCCUAGCGGGCGUUUCGAAAAUGAAUCAAAACUUUCAACAACGGAUCUCUUGGUUCUG